rnacentral:lncRNA from 1 species
CUGCUCCUCAUUGCACUGCUGCUCACUGCACUGCCCCUUAUUGCACUGCUCACUGCACUGCUCACUGCGCUGCUCCUUACUGCACUGCUCACUGCACUGCUCCUUACUGCACUGCUCAUUGCACUGCUCACUGCACUGCUCCUUACUGCACUGCUCCUUAUUGCACUGCUUACUGCACUGCUCCUUACUGCACUGCUCACUGUGCUGCUCCUUACUGCGCUGCCCCCUAUUGCACGGCUCACCUUGACGAGCGCGGAGUGCAGGUACAUGUUGUGGGGCAUGAUGACGGCCCCCACGAUGCCCACAGCCUGCUCCAGCUGUGGGGUGCCGCAGCCCGGGCACUCGGGGACAAACAGCCCCCGCAGCAGCUGCUUCUGGUUCGGCUUCACCGUCACGUACUGCGGGCAGAAAGCAACGCUGCGCUCAGCCCUGUGCCCAGUGCCCAGCCCUGUGCCCAGCCCUGUGUUCAGUUCUAUGCCCAGCCCUGUGCCCAGCCCUGUGUUCAGUUCUAUGCCCAGCCCUGUGCCCAGCCCUGUGCUCAGCCCUGUGCCCACCUCUGUGCCCUGAUCUUUACCCAGCUCUGUGCCCAGCACUGCUCAGCUCUGUGCCCUGCUCUUUGCCCAGCCCUGUGCCCAGCCCUGUGCUCAGCUCUCUGCUCAGCUCUCUGCU